UGGAGCAUGCGCAGUGGGCUUGCUGGGGAAGCAGGUGGAUGGGUGGUGUGUGGCCCUAAGGUUCCCCGGGCGGGUCAACGUGCUCUCCCCUCUGGUCUCGAAUCCCCAAGACCAGAUCGAGGAUGCAGCCGAGCCGCUGCCCGAUGUGGAAGGCUAAGUCUCCGCCUCGUGAUUGGGUCUCUGCUGUCAGAGAGCUUCACGAGCUUGAGGGGAAACAGACCGUGAGGUCUGGGCAUUGGGCAGUUUCCCGGCUCCCAACCCCGCGCACUGAACAGACCGUGACGAAAACUGGAACAAAGCGCGGAGGGAAGCUCUUAAAGGAGGCCAAAGCGGCCGGGCGCGGUGGCUCACACCUGUAACUCCAGUCUGUAAGCCUAGCUACUCGGGAGGCCGAGGCAGGAGGAACGCUUGAAGCCAGGAGUUGGAAGCUGAAGUUAAUACAUGAUCGGACCACUGCACUCCAGCUUGGGCAACAUAGCAUCCUUUAAAAAAAAAAAAAAAAAAAAAAAAAAAAAAGCCAAAAAGGGGGGCAGUGGUGCCCGGGCACCAAGGAUAGAAGGCCUCUCUGAGGAGGUGAUGCCGAGCUGAAGCUAGGAAGCGGAUGUGAGGGAAGAGUUCCAAGCAGAGGGAAGGCAAAUGCAAAGAUCCUCAAGGCAGGAACACGCUCUCUGUAUUUGAGGAGCAGAGUGCGUGUCAGUGGUGGCAGCAGCAGCUGAGCAAAGGUCUUAGAAUCCUAGCUAAUGUCAUGGGACCUAGCACCCAAUCCCAAAAGAAAGAAGAAAAGAUAGGAACCCACUGUUGACAAGAAGGUGCACUGAGAAGUGUUUUUAUCUGACCCGAUCUGCAUCCAGUUUAGAAGCCAAUACAUCAGGGAUUUAACAAUGCGCUUUGAUGUCUAGCAAGGGAAGUUGCUAGAGGGAAAACACAGAGUCAGAGUUCUAUCUUCAGCCCUGCCAGCAGGUCCCUGGGAGAUGCUGGACGAGUGACUUUUCUCUGGGCGUGGUUGGUGCAAUCACCAACCUCGCAGGAGAGAGGUCAGAGUGUAAAUGAGUGACGUAGGCCCGUUACUGGGUAUAAGUGGGCUUAUAGUGACCGGGAGCUCAUGUUCUACCAAAGGGGUUGCCAAUUCUGAUUUCGAGUGUGGCGGUGUAAAAGAGAAAAGCAACUGCUGCCAGCUGGGAGCUGGUUUGCACCCUCACUCCAGAAGCCUUGAUGUUGCUAGGAGAUGGCCUGGCACCAACAGUGAGGCCAUGGUGGUGUCCUGUUGAGCAUAAUUUCACAAAAAACAUCAGACAAGGUCCCUCUUUGACUGAUGAUAGAGAAAAAGACCAUUCCAUAAUUAAGCCUCAACACAGAAACAAGAACAUUGUCCAAACCACGAAAAUUACCAACACAAUCCUCACUCCCACAGGGUGCUUCCUGGUGGUCCUUGGUUGGAAGAUACUAUCAGAAAUGGAGGAGCAACAAAGAUUCAGCUGAAGCCCUCACUGCCUGGGACUGGGACCCUUGACUCAUCAUUGAGGACGUGGAUGUAUGCCCAUUCCCUUCACACUGUGAGCCGGUAGCCAUGGGAACUAUGAUCAAGUACACAAUAACUCCCCCACGAACAAAUCCUCAGGGAACAAGGUUCAUUUGAAUGAAACUGGCUUGACCACAAAGGAAUCUGGAGGACUUUCGGAGCUUCGCGGCCUUGUGCCACCUCCUGACUUUAAGCUGGCUCUGGAGGAGGAGGAAGUGGAGAUAUCUCAGGUAUGGACCUCUUUCUGGGAGCUGGGACUUGGACCAGGCAAAGAAAGGAGGCGGUGGGGAAAACUCCCCCAGAGGAGGCAGGAGUGGGCCCUGCAUACCAGGUCCUCAGGUCUCUGAGGGCUUUACUAGUUCUGGGAGUGUGUGGAUCGAGCCUAAAGUCUAGGAGGAAUUCCAGCAUUACCCAGGGCGUUGGCUGGAAUAUCUUUAAGGACCCUUCCAGCCCUGGAAUCAUAGCAGCAAAGGACCCAGUUGUAUGACAGCUGCUUUGGCCAGUGAAGAUGGAAAGACCAGGAAAAGCUUUAGGCGAAGCGAUGGAGUUCGUAUCCCACUAAUUCACCUCCCUUGCCGCAUCCCUGACAUUUCCCACACAAUAUGUCCUUCACUCUGUUCUCCAAAAAGCCAUUGCCUUCCUCUAACUGCCGAGAUGAGCCCUGGAAACCCUGAUGCCCACCAGACCCCUGCCUUUCCUCUUCUCUGCUCUGUUGGCCAAGGUUUCUGCCUCAGUUGCCCUGUCUGACAAUAUAGUUUCCCUAGGAGUGGAGCUAGCCCUGGCAUGCCAGAAUCCCCAACAGGUGCUAGCCCCUGGAGUCAGGACUGUCUUCCUGUGUCCCUGUGCUUGCUGCAGAAGAAACUGAUGACUUGUAACUGCCAUUCUGAAUAUAGUCACUACCAGGAACCGCUGGCUACCUGUGACAUACCAUCUAGCAUGGUACCGCAGCACUUGGCCCAGCACCUUGGGAGGCCAAGAUGGGAGGAUCACUUGAGGGCAGGAGUUUGAGAUCAGCCUGGGCAACAACAUAGUGAGAACCCCACCUCUACAAAAAAUGUAAAAAUUAGCC